GACGAACGCUGGCGGCGUGCUUAACACAUGCAAGUCGAACGAUGAAGCCUUUCGGGGUGGAUUAGUGGCGAACGGGUGAGUAACACGUGGGCAAUCUGCCCUGUACUUUGGGAUAAGCCUUGGAAACGAGGUCUAAUACCGGAUAUGACUGGCCUUCGCAUGGGGUUGGUUGAAAGUUCUGGCGGUACAGGAUGAGCCCGCGGCCUAUCAGCUUGUUGGUGGGGUAAUGGCCUACCAAGGCGACGACGGGUAGCCGGCCUGAGAGGGCGACCGGCCACACUGGGACUGAGACACGGCCCA
rnacentral:rRNA from 1 species